rnacentral:rRNA from 1 species
GACGAACGCUGGCGGCGUGCUUAACACAUGCAAGUCGAACGGAAAGGCCCUGCUUUUGCUGGGUGCUCGAGUGGCGAACGGGUGAGUAACACGUGAGUAACCUGCCCUUGACUUUGGGAUAACUUCAGGAAACUGGGGCUAAUACCGGGUAGGAGCUCCUGAUGCACGGUGGUGGUUGGUAAGUUUCGGCGGUUGGGGCUGGACUGGCGGCUUAUCCGCUUGUUGGGGGGGUAGUGGCUUACGAAGUCUUCGACGGGUAGCCGGCCUGGGAGGGUGGCCGGCGACAAUGGUACUGAGGGACGGAGCAGACGCGAACGGGAGGCAGCAGGGGGGAAUAUGGCGCAGUGGGCGGAAGCGUGAGGCAGCAGCGCCGCGUGCGGGAUGACGGCCUACGGGUGAUAAACAGCUGUCGACGGUGACGAAGCGGUAUUGACGGUAAUGGGUAAAGAAGCACCGGCUAACUACGUG